UGUGUGUCCUGGCAGGGGUGAUACCAUGAUCAAGAAGGUGGUGCACCCAGGGCGAGGCUCAGCCAUUGCACUCCGGCUGUGCUGACCCCUGCGAAUUCCCCAAAUGUGGGAAUCUCAACUGCAUAAUUUAUGGUAGUGGGGGACUCCCCUG
ensembl:snRNA U1 U1 spliceosomal RNA